UUCAAAUAUGGCCACUGUGCACCGUCGUCAUCAGCUUCCAUAUUGAUUUUGGUUGAGUUAGGAAAUAAUGAAGAACAUACCAGGGUCAUUUACCUUAACGUAACGUUUCAAAAUGCCUAGGAGAAGAAAUCAAAGUCCAGAUGCCCCAUCAUCAGGGAAAGAUUCGACAGAGAAAGUACCGAAAGAUAACGACGUUCAGCUGAGAUGGCGAGAGAACACGCUUUUCGAACUGCAGAAUAUGUUUUCCGGUUCAAUAGAUCCUGGAGUUGUUCAGCUGGUACUUUCAGAGAGUGAUUAUAAUGUAAAUGAUGCUGUGGAGAAGCUUUUUGUCCUAAGUGGAAUAGAGCAAGGACAGACAGAAAGCCAAGCUAUUCCAGACAGUCGCCCUUCUAAAUCAUCAUUGGAAAAUCAGAAACCUAAUUAUCAACAUGGUAUAUCAAAUGCUGGUCGGGAAGCCCAUAAAGUUGACUCCCAGUUUAAAGGAAUUCAGGCUGGAGCUUCUUCUGACAAUUCCAGUUCGUCAGUUAUUAAAAGCAGUUUUACACAGACAUCAAAAGGAAAAAUAGCACUUUUAUCACAAUAUAGCACAAGUGAUAGUCAUCAUCAAGGAGAAGUUCCAAGGUCUUUGCCACAUUAUAAGCCAACAUCAGGUGUGUCAUAUGGUGCAGAUAGAACAGUGUCACCUGAAGGAGUGUUGCUUCAUGUAGGCACUGACAAUACAAGCUCUGUUACAUCAUCAGGCUUACCAGAUUUUCCUGAUUAUGUUGCCCUGCAAUUUAACACUUUAACAAACCAGGCAAAUACUCCCUAUGCUGAGCUGUUGUCUUCUCAAAAACCUACAAUUCACCAAAGAGAUAUGCAAAGUGAAGAUUUAGAACCACCUGCUGGUCCUGACCAUUGUGAACAUAGUAAACCAAAAACUAUUAACCUACCUAUCCAUGAUCAGGAACUUAAAGGAAACUUAGAGUCAUACAACAAACAAGUAAUAUCUGGAAGCAGUAGCACAGAGCAAACAAAAAAAAUACCUCUGGGUUGCAGUGAAAAGAAACCAUUAGAUUUUGAAUUCAGCAGAAAAGAACAACAAGUUGAAAGCUCAUCUACAACAGAUAGAAGUGACAACACCAAUCCUCGAGUGUCAUGCAAUGAAGGUCAGAGGACUUCAAAUGAUCACAACUGUAACUAUAACCAUUUAAAUUUCUAUCAAAACACCUCAAAGACAUCUCUGAAGCAUAAUGAUGAUACACCUCAGUUGCAACACAGAACAAAUACUGUCCAACAACUACAACUUCAUCACAAUGAAAACAGUAAGUCAAAAGAAACAAUGUCUCAACCACCAGCCAUUCAAAGACAAAUUUACCCAUAUCUACGACCUCAAGGGUUCAGUCAAACAUCAAAUGUCUCUCAACAAAGAUUUCCCAUUAUGCCAGUAGUACCAGCUGUAUGGCAUCCAGGCCUACUGACUCAAAGAUUUCCAGGACAUGUUCCAACCCAAUACCUUCAAGGGCCACUCUCAACAAAUCCUUGCUUUUCAUUUGGAGCACCCUGCAUGGCUGCUGUAACAAGACCAGUCAGACAUGGGUUUGGUGUAAGGGGCUCGAUGUCACCACCAACUAAGCAGAAAGUGCUCAUCCUUAUGAGAGGAUUACCAGGAAGCGGAAAGACCUUCCUUGCACAAAAGCUCAAAGGGCGUGAUGGUGUUGUGCUCUCAACAGAUGACUACUUUUAUAGAAAUCAGCGAUAUAAAUUUGAUGCUAGCUCCCUUGGAGAGGCACAUGAGUGGAAUCAAUCCAGAGCUAAAACUGCUAUGGAGUCACAACAAUCCCCACUGAUCAUUGACAACACCAAUACACAGUCGUGGGAAAUGAAACCUUAUAUUUCUAUGGCAGUUAAGUAUGGCUACCACAUCAAAAUUGUUGAACCUAACACUCCAUGGAAAUGGGAUGUGAAAGAACUGGUCAGACGGAACCAACAUGGAGUGACUUAUGCGGCGAUUACAAGAAUGAAAGAACGUUAUGAACAUAACCUCUCUGUGGAAACCUUAAAGAAAUCUGAGAGACAUACUGACGCAAGGAAGACUGAGGACGAACUUGAGACUAAAAAGGUAAUUGAUAUAAAAAGCUACAGCGGUGGCCCCAGGUCACAAACUUCCUCUAUACAAACAGGUUCUGCUGACUUGAUUACGAGUCCAACGGAGGGCUGUAGAGUCUCCUCAGGUAAAAGAACUGCUUCAAAACAGGAAAAGAGCGGAAAUAUAAGCUCUCCCAAGGUCACAGAAUGCGCAAACACACCCUCGGUAGGUGAUGGGAUUCAUGGGCAUAUGGGGUUAAGCACGAGAGGGUUCGAUCGGCCUGAGGAAACUGAUUGCAAAUCAAAAACUGGAGGGAGUAAAAAAAGUGAAUGUAAUUCUAAAAUUCGUGGGAUUGAUAACGGUGAGUUUGGAGAAGGAGCACAUGCUUUGAUUUCAAGUUUUAGUCCUAAGCCACAACGAGCCCCAAGGAUGAGAAUUAAGAGGUCGCCAAAUACUCAACAGUCUGUCACCACAAAGUUGUCGUCACUUGAUUAUAAAGGUGACAAAAGCGAUAAACUCCGUGGGACCUUUACGUCACAUGAAAAUCACGAGAUAAUCCACGAGAUUGAAAAGUCUAGAGAGGGGAUUUCACCCAAAAAACUCGGUGCGGUAUCAUGUGUUGAAAAGUUAUCAGCACUCGCAUCCUUGGCUUACACUCGAACGUCUCCUCCACCUGACCAUUUAGAUGGAACUCUUGAAAAAAGCCGGCCUGGCGUAGAAACGGUGGAAGAGUCACGGUCAUCACCCUCCCCUUUCUUAGACAGUUCGUUUAUUAGUCAAACUUCUCCUGAAGAAAAUGGGCAUCAUUUUCAGUGUGUUGACGAAGAACAAGAAAACGAUGAACGCGCUUGCGAGACGUGCACAGGAGAAGCCAGUAAGGAAGUGCAUAUUACAUCAAUGGUCAAUUGUGACGAAUAUCUUGAAAGUGGUAAGUCUCUGCCCCUCAAAAAUAUCCUUGACGGUGAUGCGAUUCUCAGAGGUGAAAAUGACGCGCAAAUUGGAGAACCCUCGGAGAGCAAAUAUUUCCCUACACCACCACCCCUAUCGGAAAUUCUGGCCUCGGCCUCGAGAACGAGGUCGAAGAGUCGUCCAAAAUCUACAAGCGAGCCACUGCAGCUUGUUACAGACAACGCGAGCCCGCUGCAGGAAAAUGGUAAUCAUCUGUAUUCUGAACCAAAUCUUACAGAAAAGGCGUUGGAACAUGAGGUUUGUGAUGGAAAUCCGGAUCCAAAAGACAGAACAUUCGAUGAAGAUGUUUCAACUAGUAAACAGAGCCAGUCUAACCUACCUUACUUGCUAAAUCCACUACAGCCGAGCUCAUCUGAGAACUCACAGAAUCAGCGGCAUGCUGGGCUGGAGUUUUUGAAAACAUGUUUCCCGGAUGUGGACUGUGAUUUAAUGAAUGCAAUUUUGACCGCGAAGGGUGGUGAUCUAACGAAAGUGGUUGACGAAUUACUCAUGCGUUCUAAAGCUCCCUCGGCUGAGUUAUCGACAUUUCCAGCAGAUUCACUUUACUUUGCCUCACAGCAAGAAAUCUUUGACUCUCCGAGCCGUGUGGCGCAGAAAUCUUCGAGUCCAACCGAAGAAACAGUAAAUGCCGCUAGUGCACCUCAAACACAAAGCAAUGUUGGCGGUGAAAACAACAAACUCGCUGGUGAACUGUCCUCACAAAUGUAUUUAGCACCAAAGGUAUCAUCUCAAGCCCAGUCUCCGCGUUCAAACACAACUUUUCAGCUGACCCUUGAGCCUGCAGUUGCCUUGCACCUGAUUGAGCUGUUUGGUCCGUUUGCUGGAGUUGACUUUCAAGACAAUAUUAGUAGAGAAGAUUUAGUCAUAGCUGUAGACUGCUCGUUAGCAAGACAGCUGUACAAAAAGUGGGAGCAUACUAUUCAGACAAGAAAGGGGAUACCUGUUGCUGGUUUAGGAUGUAAACAGAGGGCGAAAGGGAAACCAACCGUUAACAACCAGUUGGAUAGAGAUCAGAUCCCCGACAUUCAGCAGUCAACUCCUCGUUUCCCCACAGAACCUCAAGCAACAGGAACCUUGAGAGAGAUAAUGGAUGAACAACUGGCUGUGGAACUCAGCAGAAAUCUGCCUAAUGUGACUGAGCAAGAUAUGGCAACGAAACUAAAGAAGCAGAAGCUUUUUGAAAUGUUCCCUGGCGUAGAUCCUGUAGCAUUGGAGGAAGUCUUUCAAGCAAAUGGGUUUGAAUUGGCUCCAUCAGUAGAAGCUGUGAAAGCGUCUUGUAAUUUGUCUGGUCAAGACGCUCCUACCACUGUUAUUGCAUCAGGGUUUAGCGGCCGGUUUGUUGAUAAAAAAGCAACAAAAGAGUGCCUUCUCGGCCAAACUCGGACGUAUCCUCCUUCCAGACUCUUGAGGAUCCAAGCUACCUGGAUUACCGCGCUGAAGCAUUUCAACAUUACAAUUUAAGGGAUGAGUGUUUUAAGAAAGCUGCACUGGCCUUCUCCAAGAAACAAGGGCAGCUGGCACAGUUUUAUGCCCAGCAGGGUCACUUGCACACCGAGAAAAUAAAAGAAGCCAAUGCACGUGCAGCGGCAUUAAUUCUGGAUCAAAA
rnacentral:misc_RNA from 1 species